rnacentral:rRNA from 1 species
GAUGAACGCUGGCGGCGUGCCUAAUACAUGCAAGUCGAGCGAACGGAUGAGAAGCUUGCUUCUUUGAUGUUAGCGGCGGACGGGUGAGUAACACGUGGAUAACCUACCUAUAAGACUGGGAUAACUUCGGGAAACCGUAGCUAAUACCGGAUAAUAUUUUGAACCGCAUGGUUCUAAAGUGAAAGAUGGUCUUGCUGUCACUUAUAGAUGGACCCGCGCUGCAUUAGCUAGUUGGUAAGGUAACGGCUUACCAAGGCAACGAUGCAUAGCCGACCUGAGAGGGUGAUCGGCCACACUGGAACUGAGACACGGUCCAGACUCCUACGGGAGGCAGCAGUAGGGAAUCUUCCGCAAUGGGCGAAAGCCUGACGGAGCAACGCCGCGUGAGUGAUGAAGGUCUUCGGAUCGUAAAACUCUGUUAUUAGGGAAGAACAAAUGUGUAAGUAACUGUGCACGUCUUGACGGUACCUAAUCAGAAAGCCACGGCUAACUACGUG